GAAGAACGCUGGCGGCGUGCGUAACACAUGCAAGUCGAACGAAGUGGCGAACGGGUGAGUAACGCGUAAACAACCUGCCCUUCAGAGGGGGAAAACAGUAGGAAACGAGUGAUAAUACCGCAUACUGAAGGAGGGGAGGGCGUCGGAUUAGCUAGUUGGAGGGGUAACGGCCGACCAAGGCGAGGAUCAGUAGCCGGUCUGAGAGGUUGAACGGCCACAUUUGGACUGGGACACGGCCCAGACUCCUACGGGAGGCAGCAGUGGGGAAUCUUCCGCAAUGGACGUAAGUCUGACUGAGCAACGCCGCGUGGUUGAUUACGGCCUUCGGGUUGUAAAGCUCUGUUAUUCGAGACGCGGUACCGAACUAGAAAGCCACGGCUAACUACGUGCCAGCAGCCGCGGUAAUAC
rnacentral:rRNA from 1 species